CCAUUUUUUCCCCCAUUUUCAGAGGCCACGCCCGAGCCCAUGACGGUGUACGCCCAGGUGGGGCCUUCCCUGCAGUGCACCCCAAAUGGGGUGAAAGGUGGAUCCAAGGAAGAUCCGGACACGGAAUCUUCCAGAACCGUUUACUCCCUGGUCAAACGUCCAGAGCAGGUGCAUGAUGGGAACACGGAAAAUGUCACACCGAGCGGCCUGGACGUGGUUUAGGAUCUGGAGCUGGUUUAGGAUCUGGAGCUGGUUUAUAGGGUCUGGAACUGGUUUAUAGGAUCAGAACUGUUUUAUGGGGUCUCCUCUCCUCAGUCAGACCAACAGACUCCACAAUGCGACCCCGGAACUGCUCGGGAACGGCUCCGACACCCCAAUCCCGCUCCGGACACGGAUCUCUCCCUCCCGGGAUCGCCCCUCCCCUCUCAUCGUUGCUGCCUCAGUUUCCCCCCUCAGCCUCAGUUUGGGAUUUCGGAGCCUUUUGGGGUCUCUCUCCUGGAUUUUGGCAGUUCUGU